rnacentral:snRNA from 1 species
GUGAGUGAGAUCUGGCUGUGACAUCUGGCACCCGAUGGAUCACCAGUGUUGAUUCAGCUGAUCUGGCUCACUUGGCAAAUAUCCCCUUCAUUCGUCUCCAUUCUGUGUGAUUUCUGGCUUUUAUCCCAAAUAAUUUCACAUGAUUGGAACUCUUAUGGAUACUCUCACUGGAAGAAGAGUGGGAUGCAAUUCCCCCACCUGAUACCAUUUUCCUUCCGUUGCCCUUGAAAAGCUACUCUAGAUGGGGGUGGGGAGCAAAACUCUUUAAAUACAUCAAAUUGUAUGGUAUUAGUU